CUGAGGUAGCCUGCUCUCUUUAGCAGCCAAAGCUUUAAUUCAGAAGCCCUCAUGGCCUUUUAGGUAAGCCUACUGCCCUCCCUCCUCCCUUGAGCUUUUCCUGGAAGCUGCUUGGCAAGGUUUACUGGAACAAUAUGGCUCCAGUCCCCACACCAGCCACGACCUUGAGAAGGGAGGAGGCGUGGAGCCAUCCAAGGGCAUGAUGAGAGGAUCUUAGAAAAACAGAGACCUCCAGAGAUAAGGAUACAGAGGUUGAAGGGGCACAAGUGGGGGCUGGAAGAUUCUGCAGGGUGCGCUCAGUGGUGUGUCUGGGCCUCGGCCUUCCUGGAGCUGCCAACGCGUCAGCUGUCUACUCUUUUCUCCAAGAACACAAAUUGAGGAUGCUCUGGCUUCCGGUGUGCCCGGAGCCAAAUCAGGGCUGGAGUGUUUGAGAGACGCCGAGAAAAACAGGUGCGGACCGACUGACUUCCGGUGGUUGCCUCCUCAUCCCCCACUCCAAACAUCCAGGGAAGGACAUUUUCGGGAACUAUCAACAGAUCUAUCUUCCAGGCUGGAGAUAAGGAUUAUGAAAGAAAUGCCCAGGGGCACCUGGCUCAGUCUGCGGAGUGUGGGACUCUUGAUCGCGGGCUUUCCCAGAUACAGAGCUGCUCAGGGAGGCUGCAUCUAUCUGGCCAGCAAACAUCGCCCAGCUCGGCCUCUGGACCAAGUUUUGGGGUUGGCACAAGGAGAAGCAAAAGCUUUCGGCACGGACCCUGGCUUGUCCACCUUUCUUCCCCCUAGUCCUACCCUUCCUUCCCUCUAAGGCCAGAAGAAUUCCCACCUUCCAGACUCUGAACCCCUCUACUCACCUCUCUUUAGAAUUUACAUUAAUUAUGCACAGAGUUUGGCUGUAUCUUGCACAUAUGAGUUGAAUUCUCUUUUAACUCUACGAGAGAUUCCAUAUUUGGUUUUUUUAAAGCCAAUGGUAAAAAAAAAAAAAUCGAGUAGUGUAAAAGGAAGUUGCCUUCCCAUCCUUGACCCUUUUUUUUUUUUUAAGUAAGCUUUACACCCAAACUGGGGCUUGAACUGAGGAUCUUGAGAUCAAGAGUCACAUGCUCUACUCACUGAGCCAACCAGGUGUCCCCCAUCAUUGAUCCUUACUUAAUUCCCUCCUCCAAAGGCUACCUCUGUUACACAUUUUUGUGACCUUUCUCUUGCAUUUGUUAAAAUCGAUUAUGAAAAUAAAUUCAAAUAAAAGAAACGUGCCUUUAUAAAA
rnacentral:lncRNA from 1 species